UACAGAGGUCCCAAGCGUUGUUCGGAUUUACUGGGCGUAAAGGGCGCGUAGGCGGCCAGCACAAGUCAGUUGUGAAAUCUCCGGGCUUAACUCGGAAAGGUCAACUGAUACUGCGCGGCUAGAGUGCAGAAGGGGCAACUGGAAUUCUCGGUGUAGCGGUGAAAUGCGUAGAUAUCGAGAGGAACACCUGCGGCGAAGGCGGGUUGCUGGGCUGACACUGACGCUGAUGCGCGAAAGCCAGGGGAGCGAACGGG
rnacentral:rRNA from 1 species